UGAACGCUGGCGGCGUGCUUAACACAUGCAAGUCGAACGAAGCACUUUAUUUGAUUUCCUUCGGGACUGAUUAUUUUGUGACUGAGUGGCGGACGGGUGAGUAACGCGUGGGUAACCUGCCUUGUACAGGGGGAUAACAGGUUGAAACGGGUGCUAAUACCGCAUAAACGCACGGGAUCGCCUUAUUCAGGGUGAAAAACUCCGGGUGUAUAAGAUGGACCCGCGUUGGAUUAGCUAGUUGGUGAGGUAACGGCCCACCAAGGCGACGAUCCAUAGCCGACCUGAGAGGGUGACCGGCCACAUUGGGACUGAGACACGGCCCAAACUCCUACGGGAGGCAGCAGUGGGGAAUAUUGCACAAUGGGCGAAAGCCUGAUGCAGCGACGCCGCGUGAGCGAAGAAGUAUUUCGGCAUGUAAAGCUCUAUCAGCAGGGAAGAUAAUGACGGUACCUGACGAAGAAGCACCGGCUAAAUACGUG
rnacentral:rRNA from 1 species